GCUGGAGUGGCUCAGGGGUAGAGCAGCGCACUCGUAAUGCGCAGGUCGUGGGUUCAAAUCCCAUCUCCAGCUCCA
rnacentral:tRNA from 2 species